UUAGUAGUUAGUUCUAGUAGUACCAGUCAGUUCUGGAGUGUUAGCCCUACCAGGAGCCCUCCUAUCAGCCUCGGUUGGCAUUGUGUUGGCAACAAGCCCUAAUUUAGGGAAUUAAAAAGCACUAGACAGGCCCUUUGUGCCACUGCGCGCCCGCUUUAAUCUUCCCAUGCCUCAGCGGGCACCCACAGCACGCGCACACACACACACACACACAAACACACACACACAGCGUCAGAAGUGGGCACGGUGCCCAUAUGACCCUGGGCAAUAUGGAAAUGUCCACCAAAACCACUAACCAAGCGCCCAGGCUGCCUCUGGUAGAGUCAGUACACAGUGGGAACACACUCUAAUACCAUCCCCCCACUGCACUGAAGCACAGAGAUACACACCACACCACACACACAACACGCAGAUGCUUGCACAUGCAAUUAAAUGUAUGCAUAGUUGUAUUCAUAGACAGAGCGAGAGAGACAGACACACACACACACACACAUUAUUUCACUGUCUUUCUCUAUCAAACACACACACACUUGUCAGAAGUUUGUGUUUCUCUUUGAAAUGUGGGUAAGUGUAACUGCAGUGUCGACGACAAGGCCAAUUUCUCAUGAGGUCAUCCAUCACCUCUAAUGAAACUGGCAGAGCCUAACUGUCUCGCUGUGUGUGUGUGUGUGUGUGUGUGUGUGUGUGUGUGUGUGUGUGUGUGUGUGUGUGUGUGUGUGUGUGUGUGUGUGUGUGUGUGUGUGUGUGUGUGUGUGUGUGUGUGUGUGUGUGUGUGUGUGUCUCUCUCUCUCUCCCUGGGCAGAUCCACUGGCGCCUCGCUAACCCAGGGAGGAGAAAUGGACUGAUUUAAUUACAGAUGAAACACACACACACAGGCUGGCUAUCACACAGACAGACAGAUUUCUUUUCACACAGACUCACACUCAAAGAGCACAGAUUUUAAACAAAGUUCAUAAACACACUCCUUUUUUCAAGCCAGUCUUGUUAGCAUGUUAGGAAACUACAAUGGGGAGCUGAGUGGGUGCUGCCUGGUGUGAUGUUGACGUGUUAAAGCUAAGCUACAAAGCCAAAUAUAACUUAAAGAGGCAAACAGCAGUUGCUACAUCUAUUUCUGGACUUAAUUAUACGUACCGAUAGAUUUUUGAAGAAUACAACGUAUAAAUGCGCUUCAUGAGCUUAGUUCAACUGUCGUACCACAUCAGAACCAAAAAUAUAAGCGUGUUUUACUUCAAUGUUUGCAAACAAUGUAAAUUGUAAACAAACACUAUAUAGCCUCAAAACAUGGUUAAAACUAUAAUGUUGAUAUCAUGGAGGGUCAGUCCUUGCAUCCAUAGCUUUAUCUGUUCAUUUGAUAGUGGUUGCAUUUCUCCAGUACCAUCCCUCAGCUUUUUACAGAAUCAGGAGCAUGCUUUGUUAUUGUUUCUACUGCUGAUUGCUGCUUUAAGUAGCUUCAUAACACUACAGCAUGAGAGUUACAGUUGAGGAUAAAUUGAUCAGCAUUUGUUAAAUCUGUAGUUAACAGUCCUCUUUGAUGGUGAUGGAGGUGAAUAUCUCUUUCAUUCUUGUUACGAAACCAAUAACUAGCCUGCUAAUAUUGUUGCACUCACUAAGUCCAGGGGUCUCAGGCCUAGUUAACUGGUCUGUAACCGGAUUGAAGCUUGUGCAUCUAUGUGAGAAAUCAGCGUAUGUUCCUAGGUGUUGAAGGUUCAAUAUGGACAGAGUGUGUCCUGGAUAGUGUGUUUGUCUAUGUCCUAGCACUAACCUUCCCCCCAUAUCAUAACAUUCUAAAGAAGGGCAAACCAGCUGAUGAUUGGCUCUUUCAUUCAGGCCAAUUUUUAUCUAGAAUUUAGAUGUACGGCUGUUGACCAAAACCUUGGCCACUAGGCUAGAAGCGGUACUCCCUUCACUCAUCAAUAUCGACCAGACGGGGCUUGUCAAGGGCAGAUACUCGUACCAUAAUAUAAGGAAACUUCUAAACAUUAUUCAACAUGCAAAUCUAUAUAGCCCAGAGGCCUUAGUGAUCUCACUUGAUGCAGAGAAGGCCUUUAACAGGGUCGAGUGGACCUAUCUGAUUAUGAUACUAGCAGAUAAGUUCAUCAAAUGGAUAGGGGUAUUUGACACCUGUCCUCCUGCUGCUGUUCUCACCAAAGGGAUCAGAUUUCACACUAGGACGUGGAACCAGGUAGGGUUGUCCAAUGACCGCUCUGUUAUUAGCUGUGGCAAUAAGGCUGGCGGAUGCUAUAGGUGGGAUCCGAUUGGGGACCAAAGGCAAUAACAUUUCUCCAUAUGCGGAUGAUGUUUCGCUGUAUUUGGGCUCGUGUAGAAAUUCUAUUCCAAAACUUGUGGACCUUAUUACCUCUUUAGGAGCUUCCUCUAGGUAUAAAGUGAAUUUCUCCAAGUCUGAGGCUAUGGCACGUGGUGACUCCCAGGCUGUUAAUUCAACAAUCUCCCAGCCUUUCCAAUGGCCUCCCUCUGCUUUUACUUACUUGACUAUUAAAAUCUGUCCUGUGCUAAAAGACAUGUAUAGAUUAACCCACUCCUUCUCUCUAUUCAAAAUGAUCUUGAUAGGUGGUGUUGCCUGCCUCUGUCAAGUUUAGGCCGCAUUCACCUUAUCAAAAUGAAUAUUCUCCCUCGCCUGCUAUACCGUUUUCAAAUGGUCCCACUUUUACUUCCCAGAAAAACCUUUACCCAGUUAGACCGUGCUAUAAUAUGUUUCAUCUGGCCAAGGAAAACACCUAGGCUGAGGUAUAGCUAUCUCACUCUACCUACCAGGUUAGCUGGUCUAGCAGUCCCUUCUCAUAAAUGUUAUCAACUGGCAUCUCAACUGAGCUUUAUUGAGAGUAUUGAAAACCCAAGAGCCUCUUGGCUUAAUUGUGAAUCAGCUACUAUUGGGACAAUCCCACUCCGUAAACUUUUAUACAUAUCCCAGACAAAGAUAGGCAAAUAGACUAAAGACAUUUCAUUAUAUGCUGAAGAACAUCUCUCAAUCUGGGGACAGGUCCGGAAGUUAGAAGGGCACAAUGUUUGUUUCUCAUUACUGACCCCUUUGAAUGAAACCUAAUGUGUCUCGUCUUUACAGUAAGUCUCAGGGUGCAGGGGGUUCCCUUAUUCAUUGUUUCUGGGAUCGUUGUUACAUAGAAACAUUGUGUUCGGAGGUUCUAUAGGAGAUAGAUAACGUUUUUGAGCGCUCUCUCCAGCUGGGUACAACGUUUUGUAGACUGGAAACUAGAGAGGAACUGCCUCUUAGAUUUCCUUAGUGCACAUUUUACACAUUUUAUUACAAAAAUGUAUUCUUCUGCUGUGGAUAUCUGAUAAGGCUUCCUCAGCAGCAUUGGAAAAUAAGCCUUAUCAAUUUCUUAAGAUGUGGGACCCCUUCUUGAACCAACACCGUCAAAACAAAGCCCAAGUGUUAAUUUCAGGACUGUCAGGCUUGGCCUGGCGCGAUUCAGCUACUUGAGGACAAAUCUACUUUAUGUAGGCGGUUUGUACUCAUACCUGACCUCUGUGAGGUAGCCUAGCUACCCUCCCUGCUGCUCUAGGCAGGUUCACAGUGUUAGCACACUAACUAGCCCAGCUGCCCUCCCUGCUGCUCUAGGCAGGUUCACAGUGUUAGCACACUAACUAGCCUAGCUGCCCCUCCCUGCUGCUCUAGGCAGGUUCACAGUGUUAGCACACUAACUAGCCUAGCUGCCCCUCCCUGCUGCUCUAGGCAGGUUCACAGUGUUAGCACACUAACUAGCCUAGCUGCCCCUCCCUGCUGCUCUAGGCAGGUUCACAGUGUUAGCACGCCUACUAGCCUAGCUGCCCCUCCCUGCUGCUCUAGGCAGGUUCACAGUGUUAGCACACUAACUAGCCUAGCUGCCCCUCCCUGCUGCUCUAGGCAGGUUCACAGUGUUAGCAUGUCUACUAGCCUAGCUGCCCUCCCUGCUUCUCUAAGCAGGUUCACAGUGUUAGCACACUAACUAGCCUAGCUGCCCCCAUAUGCUUCUCUAAGCAGGUUCACAGUGUUAGCACGCCUACUAGCCUAGCUGCCCCUCCCUGCUGCUCUAGGCAGGUUCACAGUGUUAGCACGCCUACUAGCCUAGCUGCCCCUCCCUGCUGCUCUAGGCAGGUUCACAGUGUCCUUUCCUUAAAACAAAGACACACUUUGGCCCAGAAACCGGAUACACUCCCACUUUUCCUCCUUCUCUCUCUGCCUUUCUCCUUCUUUCAAUCUCCACCUCACACUUUCUUUCUCCCCUUCUCCCUCCUCACCCCGUCACUCUUUCCCCAUUUCUUUCUCUGCUUCUCUUUCUCCCUUCUCCUUCUCUGAACCCUCUCUUUCCUUCCCCCCUCUCCUUUUCCUUCUCUUUCUCAUUCUCUCCAUUUUUCUCUCCCCACUGGUUUCACUUAAUAAGCUUCAAAGGGUUUCUGGGCAACUUGGUUUCUUAAAAAAAGUAACCAUGGCAUUUAUUUGGCACACAACAUCUUCCCUCUUUCUGAGGAUAUGGGGGUUGCCAUGACAUCGGUGGGCACCUUAUAAAGCACACCAUUGUUGCUGUUUGUGUGUAUGUGUGUGUGUGUGUGUGUGUGUGUGUGUGUGUGUGUGUGUGUGUGUGUGUGUGUGUGUGUGUCAGGCAUCUUGUGCCAGCUUGGUCUAAACGCUCAGGCUCCUCAUAUGAAACGCAGAACGUUGCCUAUGCCAGGGAGGAGAGAAUACAAUUAUACCGGCCAACUCAUGCUUACCAGACUAGUCACACACAUUCUCUCUCCUUUACUCUCCCUCCCUCUGACACACACAACUGAAAGGUUACACAUACAGCGUUCACACUAAACUACGAUAAUUCUAUAAGAUAAAAUGUUGUGGUUAGGGGCAAUAUGUGUUAACAAGUAGUGUCAAAAAUAGUUCUCUCUCUCUCAGUGCCAACUCCUCCUUCGCUAACAAUGAUCUCCUGUAGCUCCCCCUUCCCCACACUACCCACUCCUUAGGCUCUCUUCAUCUAUGCCCAGAAUGCUUUACUCAGACACCACUGAACACAUGCACACACAAACCUCUGUCAGACACACACACACACACACAAACACACACCUCCAUCAGACACACACACACAAACACACACCUCCAUCAGACACACACACACAAACACACACCUCCAUCAGACACACACACACAAACACACACCUCCAUCAGACACACACAUACAAACACACACCUCCAUCAGACACACA
rnacentral:lncRNA from 1 species